rnacentral:rRNA from 1 species
CCUACGGGUGGCAGCAGUAGGGAAUAUUGCUCAAUGGGGGAAACCCUGAAGCAGCAACGCCGCGUGGAGGAUGAAGGUUUUCGGAUUGUAAACUCCUUUUGUUAGAGAAGAUAAUGACGGUAUCUAACGAAUAAGCACCGGCUAACUCCGUGCCAGCAGCCGCGGUCAUACGGAGGGUGCAAGCGUUACUCGGAAUCACUGGGCGUAAAGAGCGCGUAGGCGGGAUAGCAAGUCGGGUGUGAAAUCCUAUGGCUUAACCAUAGAACUGCAUUUGAAACUGUUAGUCUAGAGUAUGGGAGAGGGAGGUGGAAUUCUUGGUGUAGGAGUAAAAUGCGUAGAGAUCGAGAGGAAUACUCAUUGCGAAGGCGACCUGCUAGAACAUAACUGACGCUGAGGCGCGAAGGCGUGGGGAGCGAACAGGAUUAGAUACCCUGGUAGUC